rnacentral:rRNA from 1 species
CGGCAAGCCUGACGGAGCGACGCCGCGUGGGGGAUGAAGUCCUUCGGGAUGUAAACUCUAAUAGUAUGUUAGGAAGCGAGUCGACCUAACACGUCGGCAAGUUGACCGACAUACGAAAGGGGCGGCUAACUCCGUGCCAGCAGCCGCGGUAAGACGGAGGCCCCGAGCGUUGUUCGGAAUCACUGGGCUUAAAGCGCGUGUAGGCGGGAUGGCAAGUACCUGUGAAAGCCCCGGCUUCAACCCGGGAACUGCUCGGUAUACUGCCAUUCUUGAGGCAGGUAGGGGUCACUGGAACCUUAGGUGGAGCGGUGAAAUGCGUAGAUAUCUAAGGGAACGCCUGUGGCGAAAGCGGGUGACUGGGCCUGUCCUGACGCUGAGACGCGAAAGCGUAGGGAGCAAACGGGAUUAGAUACCCCGGUAGUCUACGCCGUAAACGAUGCGCACUAGGUUCGAGAGCUUCUGACAGUCUUCGAGCCGAAACAAAAGCGAUAAGUGCGCCGCCUGGGGAGUACGGCCGCAAGGCUA